rnacentral:lncRNA from 1 species
UCAAUGUUCUGCUAAUAAUGUGUCUGUUGACAAGCGUUCUGUCAUAGGCCUACAAGAAUGGUCAAACUUGUUUGAUAAGCAAUCAUCUCCUUGUCAAAACAAUCAACGAUAUUUAGAUUGUAAAAUUUGUUGUUCAAAUGCAAUAAAAGGAUUAGACUAUACAAAAUUAAGUACAAUCAUCUCACGUAAACUUUUGGAUGAAUUCUGUCCGAUUAGAAAAGCAAUUACAGUUUUAAUCGGUUUAAGAAAUACAUGCGCUCAUAUCUCAGAAGCAAGGAUUACAGACGCUGAUUAUGUUACUAACAGCACCAAGGCAAAACAAGCUAUAUUACAAAUAGCAAAAGUAUGUCAAAAAGAAGUCGCAAUGCUACAAAAGCUAGAUGAUCUCUCGUCACGGCCUCUAGAUGAAAUGAUGUUAUUAAAAUACCACGCAGAACUUAUUAAACAGCUAAAUGAGUCAGAGGUAAUAAUAUUUACAGACAAAUCUCAUUGUUUUCUUAAGUUUAAUUCAUAGCGUGUAACACGGUUUUCCCCAUUUUGUUCUGUAAGGAUCAACGUAGAAGUUUAGUUUACUUCGAACGAUGUUCAUUUGAACAGUGUCAUUGGAGAUUGCUUUUUACAAACAUGUAAAUUUGAUCAAUGACACAAUAUAAAAAAAUAUGAAAAAACAAGGUAGAUGUAAAAAAAAAUGGUAAAAAAGACAUAUAUUCCCUUGGUCAAAAUGGAAUUAUACAUGUUAAACAGAAUAACGUACACGGGUAAAUACAAAUAUACUAAUGUUGUUGUACAAGUACGGAAAUAUGUUUUACAAAAUAAAUAAUUUGAUUGUGCAUAGUAUGAGCUCACGAGUGAAACUUUAUCGUUAUACUUAAUAAGUAUCAAAGUAUGUUUUGUUUGUUUUACAGUUGACGUCAAAUGUUCUAAAAAGAUACGAAGACGUGAUAUAAAAAAUGGA